GUUGGUGAAUUUAUCAUAACGUGGAUGAUACCACUAAUGAACGGAAAACGGGACAGUAAAGUUUAACUCAGCCGAACUCUAAGAUCAACCACAAAUGUCUCAUUUUCAUCUGCAAGUUGAAGCAACAGUCUAGUUUGAAACCUAGCCCCCUGGGUAGAAUGAUGAUUUCACAACAUUUAGCGAACAUCCUUUUAAAAGUGUUAUUUUUUCAAGACAGCAAAGAUCAUUCCUCUGGUUCUUCAUACUACAAAGCUGGAGUAAGUAUUACCCCCCCUUAAUUUUUAACAUCUAAGAACAAAAAAAUUCACAAGAAAAACAAUGGAGAGAUUUAUAUGUAGCUCUAAAGGCAUUAUACCCAAACACAUGCACAUGUUCACAUAUUUGUGGCAGAAGUGAUGAGAUCAAGUGAGAGCUCCAGCCUGAAUGGAACCUGUAAGGUGGUAUUUUUGUAAGGAGAUGCAAAAUUAUAUCUACUAUCAAACAGUGAUUUAAAAAUCAUAAUCAACUAUUCAUCUGAAUGGCUUCUAAGUAAAAACAGUCCCUUCUUACCUAUGACCUAUUCAAUGGUAUAAAACAAUGCAACAACUCUAAAUAACUCAUAAAUGCAAAGCUAUUUAAGUUUUUGUAGAUAUAAAGGUUUACUUAUACAUAAUUCAAAUAGGAAAAAAAUCUCCAGUAGAUAAAGCAAAAAAUAAUUAGGCAACAAAGUAUUUUCAAACCCAAAUUCCUGUUUCCAACUUCAAAUAGUUUUUUCUAUAAACACAAAAUGAGUGUUUAUUCAUCAGUAGGAGGUUGAACUAGAUAAACUCUAUUAUUUCUUACCAAAUCUAAUACUCCAUGAAAAUUAUACUCUCUCUCUGCUUCAAUUUUUAUUUAAUAUAUACUUAGAUGAACGCUUUCCCUUACCUCCAGUUUAAUUUAAAACCAUUCCCUCUGCAUAGCCUUCAUUUUGAUUUAAAAAAAGAAAAAACUGUCUUCAAAGCAAACAAGAACCAAAAAAGUCGCCCUAUCAGAUUUCAAGUAGAUUUGUGGCUGCUCUUCUUUUCUGUAAUUCUCCUUCUUCAAGUUUAGUAGGAAAAGUAAAAGAUUAACCCUCCCCACUGGUGAUGACCUAGCCAGGAAUCAGCCCAUGAAUAAAUACUAGCCUAGUAAAGGCAAUCUGGUGUGACAAGCAGGGCAGAGCAGCAGUCACAUUUUUCUACUCUUUGACCAAAAGGAAAAGCAAAUAAAGAAGAGCUCUGGAGUAGUCAAACCGUGAUAACAGCAAAAAAAAAAAAAAAAAAAAAAAGUCAAGGACACAGAAACUUAAUUAUUGUAAACUUUUGCUGUUUGAAACUUUUAGGCAUCCUUAAAUGCUAACCAGACCAACAGACUUUUUUUUCCAACCCAGGACUGUCAUAACCCAUAUAGACAACAGGAAUUCUUAUUUCUAUAAUAAAGUAACAAGAUUCACCUAACCUGUGAAAAUAAAGUAGUAUCAAAGAUUUACAUGGUAUGUUUUUUCCUAAGAGCUCUAUAUCACUUACACAGAUUACAACUCCCAACAGUUAGGUGAAGCUGCCCAAAGAUCUGGGAUGAGUCUCCCUGCAGACACAGCAUGUUCUCCAUUCAAGUCAGAGCACUCUCAAAGUACACAAUGUACAUAUAAGCUCUGCCUCUGAAAACUAGAUGUGACUUCCCCUACACACACCCCAAAAUAACUGUUGGUAUACUAAUGCUAUUUGAUAAAUGUUUCACAAGUAGACAACUAAGAAAUGCAAUCAGAAAAUCAGAAACUUCUGUCUAGGUGGCUUAAAGCUUCUGAAAGCACUGUUCAUGAUUCUUUCGCUUACUUUCAGUGAAUCACAGCUUCUACAUUAAGGAUUAAGUUUUCCGCCAAGAUACCAUUCUCCUUGGCAGGAGAAGGGAGUACAAAUGGAAAGAGGGGGUGAUUACUGGGAGAUGGGAACAGCAUCUCUAAUUCCUGGCUACACAGCUCACUAAUCUGGGGCACCUGGGAGCCCAAGGAUGAUACCUUAGAUUCAUGACUAAGAAGACCAUGUUGGAAUUAACUUUAAAAAUGAUUUAGGAAACUGAUACAGAUAAGCAUGACAAUCCCAACAAACUACACAAGCAGUUACUAAAAACAUAACAUCUAGUUUUGAUAUAUGUACAAGCCCAUAAUACCUACUGCAGGCAGCACCUAAUAACCAAAAGCUGCUAUGUCUACUUCAAAGUAUUUUACACCAAAAUGCACUAACUGGUAUUACAUUAGGCUAAACCUAUUAGUAUCAAAUGGAUCAUUUUUUAUUUAAUGAACUUUCAACUGCAUCCUCAGAGAAUCAUACUACAAGAUCAUCACCAGAACUGAUCUCCCCCUCUGCAACAAUAAUUCCUACUGAAUAGAAAUUAUAAUUCCAGUAUCACAGGCCUUUUUCUACCUCCACAUUGCCCCAUAGAUGUGUUCAUAGUCGUUAUGUACAAUUCUUGUCCCAAUGUCUAUAAAUAUACACAUUUCUCUCCAAUAGAAGAAGCAAAUACAGGAUAUAAACCAUCUUUAAUUUUAAAAACAAGUCAUUCUGAAACCUUUAGUACUCAAAUUAUCUUAAUUUGAUGUCAGAGAACAUCUCACAAGUGACCAAUAUAUCACUCUGCCCCAACAAACUAGUUUAGUACUGCCAUUCUUGAAAAGUGGAAGAUACAAAAGCAAAUUUUUUUGAGAGAGAGAGAGAGAACAAGUGCACAGCAUGAGCAGGGAGCAGGGCAGAGAGAAAGGAAAGAGAGAAUCCCAAGCAGGCUCUGUGCUGUCAGCACAGAGCCCAACACCGAGCUUGAUCCCACAAACCGUGAGAUCAUUACCUGAGCUGAAAUCAAGAGUCAGAUAGACACUCAACCAACUGAGCAACCCAGGCACCUCCAAGAAAAAAACUUUUUAAUCUACAAUAUUUAUAACAAAAGCGGAUUACUUAUAAAAAGAAAGGCUCAAAAUUAUUAGCACAGUUAAUAUACCUAAGUGAGCAUCUUAUCAAAAAACAUUCAAUAAAAGCCACUAUGAUUUAUUUGAAUAUAUAUAUGGAACAUGCCCUGAUAUUUUAGUAGGGAAAACUUUCUUUAUACUCUUAAUCACUUCACAUCAAUUUAGUUUUACAGAACUCAUCUUUUCAAAUAUAUACCUUUGUAUACACGUAUACAAAGGAAAAAACCUGUAUUUUUUUAAGUUUUUUUUUUAAAGUUUUUUUUGAGAGAGCACAAGUGAAGGAGGGGACAGAGAAAGAGGGAGACAGAGAAUCCCAAGUGGGCUCCACGCUGUGAGCCCAGAGCCUGACACAGGACUCAAACUCACAAAACUGUGAGAUGAUAACCUGAGCUGAAAUCAAGAGUCAGUCGCUAACUGACAGAGCCACCCAGAUGCCCCCAAAACCUGUAUUUUUAAAGAGAGUGGUCAGAGAGAUUUCUCAGAUUGAAUUAAUAUACUAGUUAAAAUACAAGUUGGGCAAAUAAUGAUGAAAACGAACUUUACACUCUAACCAAACCACGAAAGUAUGACUGUGGUGAAUAGUUAAAAUCGAGCUACUGUCAUAACAGAGAACACAGGGCUUUUCCAAAGCAACCCAAGUCAUUUUCAGACACCUCUAUUAGAUCUUUUUAACUGAGACUAUGUUGAGUACCUACCACCUUAAACCUAACCUUUAGACUAACACAGAUCAAACUUAAUUCCUCUUUCUCAAUUGUUGAGCAAAUAUUUGCAGACAGUAACCCUAAAAACACUCCUCCCCACUCUGUCCUGUCCACAGUUUUGUCUGCUGUGUAAACAGCCCCAUUUCUGUCAGGCAUUCACCAUCACAGGGCUGCAAAUGCCCCAUUCUACUCCAAUAUAUGGAUCCCUUCCAGGUGUGGCCAGUCCUGCACACAAUAUUUAAGCUGUCCUGUGUCAACAUAAGACAGCAGGCGUCCCUAUUGCCCGCCUCAUGAGGAUCCUACAGUUCUAGUAAAUGUUAUGCUGGUUAACACGGAGGCCACAGUCAGCUAAGAAAGCUGUGCUUUUCCCCAGCAAGUUGCUAUUACACCAUUAUUCCAUAUCUUAAAUUCUAGAGUUUACGUGAGAGUUAACAUUUUCUGCUGUUAAACUUCCAUCUGAUUAGAUCUUGUCUCUUGUUCCAUCUUAAUUCUGAUCUUAAGUCCCAGGUGUUCCACUCUAUAGCUACCCCUCUAACUACUGAGUAAUCUGAAAAUCUGAUCACACAUCAACACUGUCAUCCAAAGAAAAGGAAUGUUUAUACAGCACAUAGCACAAGACCUAUCAUACAAGUCAGAAUUCAGUAACUGUUGAACAAAUAAAGGAGUCCAUAUACUCUUAUUUAAUCCUAAAAAUUCUGUAAGGCAUUCUCACCUGUAUUUAUUAUGAGACUACUGAAUAUGAGAGCUUAGAUUACCAGUGAUCUUCUGAUUCAAAACCGUGUACUCUUUAAACUACCCCUCAUUAUCUGUCUCUAGUCACUGGCAAAAGUAUUAAGUCAGACAAGGAUGAGAGCAGAGGUCCCAAAACAUCCUCCAAAUUAUAUUUAUCCAACAGUCUACAAUACAAGUAAAGCCAUUCAUCUAGCAGUAAGUUAUCUACCCAGUCUGUUCCAGAUUUCUUGGUGCUACACUCAUUUAAUGGCUUUUCAUUAAUAUAAAUAUAAUUGAUUAUUUCCAAUGCAUAUUAAUAAAUGAGAAAUUUAAAUAACUGAUAUGUUAAAAUGAACUGGUGUGAAAACAAUGAUGCCAAGUUGACUAUUUGGUGUUUUAAAAAAUCUGCAAAUCUUGGGGCCCCUGGGUGGCUCAGUCGGUUAAGCGUCCAACGUCGGCUCAGGUCAUGAUCUUGCGGUUUGUGGGUUCGAGCCCUGCAUCGGGCUCUGUGCUGACAGCUCAGAGCCUGGAGCCUGCUUUGGAUUCUGUGUCUCCCUCUCUCUCUGCCCUUCCCCUGCUUAUGCUCUGUCUCUCUCUGUCUCUCAAAAAUGAAUAAAUGUUAAAAAAAAAAAUUUUUUUUAAAUCUGCAAAUCAGUCUGUGAAUGAUAUUUACAUGUUUAACAUAUAUUUUUGACAAAUGCUUACUAUUGUCAGAUACAAUCAUGCCUGGAGAACUUUUCUGGUACUUCCAGGAAUUGGGAAAUCACAAGGUAAUUUUCAUAACUCCAAUGCCGGGGGGGGUGCCUGGUGGCUCAGUCGGUUAAGUGUCCGACUUCAGCUCAGGUCACGAUCUCACAGUUUAAAGGUUUGAGCCCACAUCAGGCUCCAUGCUGACAGAGCAGAGCCUGCUUGGGAUUCUCUUUCUCCCUCUCUCUGCCCCCUGUAAGUUCCCCACUCACACAUGCUUAUGUGCGCAUUCUCUCUAAAUAAAUACAUAAAUACAUAAAUAAAUGAAUCCAAUGUUACUAUGAAUUGGCAUUCCUUUUUUCUCUCAGACCUUAAUACCUACUGGCACUUUAGAAGGCAGUACCUUUAAUCAGUCAGAAAAGCCCAUCUUAACAUUAUAGGUUCUUUAAUAUAAACUAUAAUUAAUUCAUCACAAACACUGAAACCUUGUUCUCUUACUAUGUUCCUUUUAAUUCAGUAGCUACCUUAACUAUAAUUUAUUUUGACUCCUCUCAUCUCAAAACAAGAAAAAAAACAAAGAUUAGGUAUCAAAAAGACCAGAUCAAUAAUAAAAGGCUAAAGAAAGAACAUUCAUAGUUGUAAAAUUUGCUCUCUGACACAAAAACAAGCAUUCUAGCUUUUUCCCUGUUUCUUUUCAUCCUGUGAGAAGUAUCUACAUUGGAAAAGGAGUUAACAGACUGGUUCCUAACUUAAAAUUUCACUUCACAAGAGAGCCUUAAUAAAGAAUAUAUGCCUUGCAAAGAAUACAUAGACCUAAAAAGUUAAAUCAAGUAAAUCCUAAUGGUUGUGUUCAUCACCCCUGGUUUUGUGCAACAGAGCCAUCAAAUAACCACGGAAUUAUAAAUCCAAGCAAUGCUACAACUCCAUCUACUGGAGAGGCACAGGUAACUGAGUCAAUUUUAAAUAAAUGGAUCCUUACAUGUGAGCCUUUUAGGAACUAAUAUCAUGGAAGUUCAGAUAAAAAUACUUCAAAACAGUAAGAAAGCCUUACCUACAUCUUUUCGUCCUGGUUUUUCAAAACGUCUGUCACCUCUAGAAAAGAUAAAACAAGUUUCAAACAGGACUUAGGAGUAAUAUAUAGAUUUCCUAUACAUGACAACCACUGCUGUAUCUGUCCUUAAUAGCAUUGCUUUCCUUUUCAAAUUGUAAAAACAAACAGCACCCAACAUUUGGAAAAUAUAAGAAAACACAAAGAUGAAAACAAAAAUAUCCACUAUCUCACUUACCAAAAGCCAGCUUCUAUUGACCCAGAAAUGUUUUUUAAAAUUAGAUAAAAUUAGAUAGAUGCUUUACUUUAGAUACACACUAUAUAUAGUUUUAUAUACUAUUUUUGGCACGUGGUUUCCCACAUCAUUAGGUAUUUUCAAAAUCAUCCUAACUUUUAAUGGUUACAGAAUAUUCUAUUGUGUGGAUAUACCAUUACAUAAGAAGCCAUGCUGAUAUUAAGCUAUUUGGCUUGUUUCUAAUUAUAUUAUAAAUAUCAUCACAGUGAACAUCUUUGUACAUACAACUUUGUGGAACUGCCCUCAUUCAUCAACAGACUUCACAGAGUCACAAAGAACAGAGAAGAUGCUUUGACUGAUAGCAACAAAAAAUAAAAUGUCAAUUGUCAAUGCCUCCCACUGAACACUAAUAAAAUAACAAAUCUGACUAUGAAAUAUCCAUGCUGGCACUAACAUAUUAACCUAUUUAUCUCCAAUGCUUCUUUCAUUAAAUAAGGAUCAUUUAAAACUUUCUAACAUACAUCUUGAUACUCAAUAAUUAAAAGCAUUUUUUAAGUGAAAUCUUGUAACUAUACAAAGAAACGUCUCCUCUGGAGAAAGCAGAAAAAAAUUUUUUUUACACCAAGGAGUCUUUUUGCCAAGAUCUGGAUCUUUUAGUUACCUUUCCUCCCAGCUCUGUGACCUAUGCAUUUCCCUGCCACCUCCUCGACCAAAGACACCCUCUACUUCAUCAAAGCUUCUUUGGUAGAAACCACAUUCACCUCUGCCUCUGCCUGAAAAUAAGAAAACAGAAAAAAUGAUACUCAGAUGUCAAUAUUUGAUACAUAUUCAACACCAACGAUUAAUCUUUGAAGUUCUGUCUCCACACAAAGAGGAUGUCUAUGUUUAAACAUUUAGCAAGGCCUGACGGAUCUUUACCUGAGAGACCAAUAAUGGCACUGAAGAGGCUAGACCACAGGAGGUUGAAAGAAACAAGUUAGAAAACAGGUGUUAAGAGUCCCAGUCCUGAAUAAGAAACAGUGUCAACGUUAAGUUCUUUAAUAAAAAGUUUAACAGUAAAAUUCUAAGAAGAUCGGUAAACUAUUACUACAAAUU
rnacentral:lncRNA from 1 species